AUGAGACAUGAACCUGUACCCUCUGUGUGCAGUGCUACAGCAAUUCAGCAUGUCUUUGUGCUGGAAAAAGUCUUCUUCCUAAUCACAGUUUGCCUUGAUCUGCCCCAGAGCAAGGUCUCAAGUGCCUCUUUAAAUACAAGUCCAAAUGACAGGAGUCCAGGAGUUUGGAAGUUAUUAGAGAGAGGUGGAGCCUGGGUGCGUGGGGACACUUGCCUGUGUAAUGUGAUGCAAAGGCUGCUUGAUUUUUGGGGUUGAUCUUCAAGCCUUCUCCUCUGAAGCAGCUUCUCUGUGCCAAGAGCUUCUGCAAAAGGGGAAAAUACUGCUUUGACUUUCAGGUAUGUUUCUAAUGUGAUUCACAUAAUUCAAACUUAAACUUUCUCUCAAAGUGAGAGGGAACAAUUGCUGGCUUGC
rnacentral:lncRNA from 1 species